AAGUAAAGAAGUAAAUUUUACAUUUAGUUUCGACCUAAAAAUAGAGCAAAGCUCCAUACUUU
rnacentral:tRNA from 1 species